rnacentral:rRNA from 1 species
ACGUGGGAGGCGAACGUUAUCCGGAUUUACUGGGCGUAAAGCGCGUGUAGGUGGUUCUGUAAGUAGGGCGUGAAAGCUCCUGGCUCAACUGGGAGAGGCCGUUCUAAACUACAGAACUAGAGGAUGGUAGAGGGAGGUGGAAUUCCAGGUGUAGCGGUGGAAUGCGCAGACAUCUGGAGGAACACCAGUGGCGAAGGCGGCCUCCUGGACCAUACCUGACACUCAGACGCGAAAGCUAGGGUAGGAAACGG